GAUGAACGCUGGCGGCGUGCCUAAUACAUGCAAGUCGAGCGAACAGAUAAGGAGCUUGCUCCUUUGACGUUAGCGGCGGACGGGUGAGUAACACGUUGGUAACCUACCUAUAAGACUGGAAUAACUCCGGGAAACCGGGGCUAAUGCCGGAUAACAUUUAGAACCGCAUGGUUCUAAAGUGAAAGAUGGUUUUGCUAUCACUUAUAGAUGGACCCGCGCCGUAUUAGCUAGUUGGUAAGGUAACGGCUUACCAAGGCAACGAUACGUAGCCGACCUGAGAGGGUGAUCGGCCACACUGGAACUGAGACACGGUCCAGACUCCUACGGGAGGCAGCAGUAGGGAAUCUUCCGCAAUGGGCGAAAGCCUGACGGAGCAACGCCGCGUGAGUGAUGAAGGUCUUCGGAUCGUAAAACUCUGUUAUUAGGGAAGAACAAAUGUGUAAGUAACUGUGCACGUCUUGACGGUACCUAAUCAGAAAGCCACGGCUAACUACGUG
rnacentral:rRNA from 1 species